ACUCUUCAACCCUCCAUUUCCUUGUUGAAAUGUGCAGGUGUUUGGAUUUUGAGUGUCUGCAAGUUUUACUAUUUGCUCACUCGUAAUGCAUUAGCAACUCAAUUUCGAACUUCGGAUUGACUCGGCGUAAUAGACUAUUCGCUGAGGACACUUUUUACUAAGUGGCCGAAAAGUAGACAACAGUAGAAGCUACAAACCAUCUCUAGUCAAAUCUUAGA
rnacentral:misc_RNA from 1 species